rnacentral:sRNA from 1 species
AGCUGUUCCCCUCUGGAGGUUCAUACCUUCAAACUCACGGGCCGCGGUUUUUCCGGCGGCCCUUUUUUCUUCCGCGC